UACGUAGGGGGCAAGCGUUGUCCGGAUUUAUUGGGCGUAAAGAGCGUGUAGGCGGCCAGGUAGGUCCGUUGUGAAAACUGGAGGCUUAACCUCCAGCGGUCGAUGGAAACCAUCUGGCUAGAGUCCGGAAGAGGAGAGUGGAAUUCCUGGUGUAGCGGUGAAAUGCGUAGAUAUCAGGAGGAACACCGGUGGCGAAGGCGCACAUCUGGCCCGAUACUGACGCUGAGGCGCGAAAGCUAGGGGAGCAAACGGG
rnacentral:rRNA from 1 species